rnacentral:rRNA from 1 species
UACAGAGGUGUCAAACGUUGUCCGGAAUUACUGGGCGUAAAGGGCGCGUAGGCGGCCUUAUAAGUCAUGUGUGAAAGCUCUGGGCUCAACCCAGGAAUUGCAUGUGAUACUGUAAGGCUUGAGUUCGGUAGAGGAGGGCGGAAUUCCAGGUGUAGCGGUGAAAUGCGUAGAUAUCUGGAGGAACACCCGUGGCGAAGGCGGCUCUCUGGUCCGAAACUGACGCUGAGGUGCGAAAGCUAGGGUAGCAAUCAGG